rnacentral:misc_RNA from 1 species
UCAUUUCCACGCUCUGUGGUCCUUCGGUCGCUGUUCUCACAAGUAGACUCUCCAUGCCUAGUGUGGUGGGAUGCCUUGGAUGGCUUGACCGUUGCGCUACGCUGGCGUAUGAGUUGUGUUAGACCUGUGACUGCUUGGAGGCCCCCCGCCCUAGUGCGGCUGACUCCGAGUGCUUGCGUGCUGCUACCCAUGCUAUGGGAAGUUGCUUUCUCUACUUGUUACCUUCGUUGUGCUCACCUUUCGGGUGUGGUACUACGGCUAUGGAGCACUUGUGGCGUCACCUCAUGGUACUAGCCAAGCUAGUUGGAACCAUCAAGGUCACCUCGCUUGUGUUCUUGGUCACGGAUGGGAGCUAACACCACAGGACGAGGCUGCUUCGGCGUUUCGUUCCUUGCAAAAUCGGUACCUUCAAGANAAUGACUACCGACACAGCUAAUGCUUGUGGCUGAAGC